ensembl:snoRNA
ACCACUUGUGUUUCAUUUGUAGACAAAGACUUAUAUAGACAGGUGCAAAAAUAAAUCCUCUUUUGCAACCCAGAACUCAUUGUUCUGUAUGAGAUUUUUAUAGAUUAGAAGGAACAUG